AUUAGAGGCGCGGUUGGCAAAGAGUACUUAUGACUAUAGUUCGCACGGGACGUCAUAAUGAAAGGUGUCGCCGCCGAAAGGACCGUUCGUGCAAGCGGUCGCUUGGUUUUGCGGAAUAAUAUCCGCACGACUGUCGCAAAAGCGGAGUGCUAUCUUG
rnacentral:ncRNA from 1 species